rnacentral:misc_RNA from 1 species
GAUGAAGAACGCAGCGAAAUGCGAUACUUGGUGUGAAUUGCAGAAUCCCGUGAACCAUCGAGUCUUUGAACGCAAGUUGCGCCCGAAGCCAUCAGGUUGAGGGCACGUCUGCCUGGGCGUCACAUAUCGUUGCCCAAUGCCUAUUGCAGUGCAAUAGGAAUUUCUAGGGCGAAUGAUGGCUUCCCGUGAGCGUUGUUGCCUCGCGGUUGGUUGAAAAUCGAGUCCUUGGUAGGGUGUGCCAUGGUAGAUGGUGGUCGAGUUAGAACGAUACCGAUCAUGUGCAUGCUCCCCAAAAUAUGGCCUCUAUGACCCACACGCGUCUUUUGACGCUCAUGACGAGACCUCAGGUCAGGCGGGGCUAACCGCUGAAUUUAAGCAUAUCAAUAAGCGGAGGA